rnacentral:misc_RNA from 1 species
UCCCAGUCCACCGCGGUGAGAAGGG